UUUAAUUUCAGGAUAUGGAUCUGAAUUCAGUGAAAGAGAUUGGCAUUGGAAACCUUCGAGAUUAAAAAGUGAGGAAGACGAUAAGCUAUCACCAUAUUUAAUGGCGCCAUCACGACGGACUUCUUCAAUAAGCGUAUGCAAGGUACAACCCCCACAUCCCCCGGCGGCAUAAGCUCAGUAACCCUAGUGGGGACCCCAAAGAAGUCUAGCCCCGAACCCCCGGACCCCAAGACCCGGAAAUCCCCGACCAAGGACAAUGACGUGGCCGCAGCCAUCAUGAAGGAUGAGAGCAUAGAGCUGGUGGAGCAGAGUGAUGAAGAUAUUAAGUAUAAGGAGGAAGAACAGGAGAAGAAUAAAAAAGAGGAGAAGUUUAAAAUAUCGCAGAGGUUUUCAGAGGUAAGUUUCUUU